GGAUGCGAUCAUACCAGCACUGAAGCACCAGAUCCAAUCAGAACUCUGAAGUUAAGCAUGCUUGGGCGAGAGUAGUACUAGGAUGGUGACCUCCUGGGAAGUCCUCGUGUUGCAUUCCC
rnacentral:rRNA from 1 species